rnacentral:misc_RNA from 1 species
GCAUCGCGUCGCCCCUCACCAUCAUCCUAUGGACAAGUGGUGUAGGGAGCGGAUAUUGGUCUCCCGUGCUCAUGGCGUGGUUGAUYUAAAUAGGAGUCCUCCUUUGGUGGAUGCACGGCUAGUGGUGGUUGUAUAAUCUCGUAUCGAGCCGUGUGUUGUGAGCCGYAAGCGAGUUUCUYUUCAAAGACCCCUUAGUGUCGUCUUGCGACGAUGCUUCGA